CUUGAUGGAUCCGAGCCAGAGAGGCUGUUGCGCCUGGCGCUCUUGGCCAUAGGUGGCGAGCAAGGCCUGCGCCUC
rfam:Chondromyces crocatus strain Cm c5, complete genome.